rnacentral:rRNA from 1 species
GCCUACGGGGGGCAGCAGUCGAGAAUCAUUCACAAUGGGGGAAACCCUGAUGGUGCGACGCCGCGUGGGGGAAUGAAGGUCUUUGGAUUGUAAACCCCUGUCAUGUGGGAGCAAAUUAAAAAGAUAGUACCACAAGAGGAAGAGACGGCUAACUCUGUGCCAGCAGCCGCGGUAAUACAGAGGUCUCAAGCGUUGUUCGGAAUCACUGGGCGUAAAGCGUGCGUAGGCUGUUUCGUGAGUCGUGUGUGAAAGGCGCGGGCUCAACCCGCGGACGGCACAUGCUACUGCGAGACUAGAGUAAUGGG